rnacentral:rRNA from 1 species
GAGGAAUCUUGCGCAAUGGGGGAAACCCUGACGCAGCAACGCCGCGUGAGUGAGGAAGGUCUUCGGAUCGUAAAGCUCUGUCGGGUGGAAAGAAAUGUAUGGGGUUAAUAGCCUUCAUACUUGACGGUACCACCAAAGGAAGCACCGGCUAACUCCGUGCCAGCAGCCGCGGUAAUACGGGGGGUGCAAGCGUUGUUCGGAAUUAUUGGGCGUAAAGAGCGUGUAGGCGGCUUGGUAAGUCAGAUGUGAAAGCCCUGGGCUUAACCCAGGAAGUGCAUUUGAAACUGUCAGGCUUGAGUAGGGGAGAGGGAAGUGGAAUUCCUGGUGUAGAGGUGAAAUUCGUAGAUAUCAGGAGGAACACCGGUGGCGAAGGCGACUUCCUGGCCCUAUACUGACGCUGAGACGCGAGAGCGUGGGUAGCAAAC